AUUGAACGCUGGCGGAAUGCUUUACACAUGCAAGUCGAACGGCAGCACGGACUUCGGUCUGGUGGCGAGUGGCGAACGGGUGAGUAAUAUAUCGGAACGUGCCCAGUCGUGGGGGAUAACGUAGUGAAAAUUACGCUAAUACCGCAUACGAUCUACGGAUGAAAGCGGGGGAUCGCAAGACCUCGCGCGAUUGGAGCGGCCGAUAUCAGAUUAGGUAGUUGGUGAGGUAAAGGCUCACCAAGCCAACGAUCUGUAGCUGGUCUGAGAGGACGACCAGCCACACUGGAACUGAGACACGGUCCAGACUCCUACGGGAGGCAGCAGUGGGGAAUUUUGGACAAUGGACGCAAGUCUGAUCCAGCCAUUCCGCGUGCAGGACGAAGGCCUUCGGGUUGUAAACUGCUUUUGUACAGAACGAAAAGGUUUCUAUUAAUACUAGGAGCUCAUGACGGUACUGUAAGAAUAAGCACCGGCUAACUACGUG
rnacentral:rRNA from 1 species